rnacentral:rRNA from 1 species
GACGAACGCUGGCGGCGUGCUUAACACAUGCAAGUCGAACGGAAAGGCCCUGCUUUUGUGGGGUGCUCGAGUGGCGAACGGGUGAGUAACACGUGAGUAACCUGCCCUUGACUUUGGGAUAACUUCAGGAAACUGGGGCUAAUAUCGGAUAGGAGCUCCUGCUGCAUGGUGGGGGUUGGAAAGUUUCGGCGGUUGGGGAUGGACUCGCGGCUUAUCAGCUUGUUGGUGGGGUAGUGGCUUACCAAGGCUUUGACGGGUAGCCGGCCUGAGAGGGUUACCGGCCACAUUGGGACUGAGAUACGGCCCAGACUCCUACGGGAGGCAGCAGUGGGGAAUAUUGCACAAUGGGCGGAAGCCUGAUGCAGCAACGCCGCGUGCGGGAUGACGGCCUUCGGGUUGUAAACAGCUUUCGCCUGUGACGAAGCGUGAGUGACGGUAAUGGGUAAAGAAGCACCGGCUAACUACGUG